CGGAACGUGCCCUGGAGUGGGGGAUAACGCAGCGAAAGUUGCGCUAAUACCGCAUACGAUCUACGGAUGAAAGUGGGGGAUUCGCAAGAACCUCAUGCUCGUGGAGCGGCCGAUAUCUGAUUAGCUAGUUGGUGGGGUAAAGGCCCACCAAGGCAUCGAUCAGUAGCUGGUCUGAGAGGACGACCAGCCACACUGGAACUGAGACACGGUCCAG
rnacentral:rRNA from 1 species